CUGGGCUGGCUGCUUUGGGGAACAGCAGUGAGGGUCUCUGUGAUGGAGUUCCAUGGUCAAACCGUGCUGCUGUGGGGUAUGGCAUUGCUGUGGUCUCACUGUGGGAAUCAGAACCUUUGGGGAAGGUGACUUGCAGGUGGCCUACUUGAUAUGACCCCAAAUUCAUGGGAUAUGUGGUACAACAAGUGGAUGAGACCCCGAGCAACCUGCUAUGGGCUCAGCGUUGGCAGAGCUUCGUGCAAGAGCUUGGGCUUAGCAGCCUGAGGUCCUUUCCUACCCGGCCUUUUCAGUGACUCCAUGAUGAGCCAAAAUGAGAUCACUUCCUGGAUCUGUAUCUAUUUCCCACAGCCUCCUUCAUGUGCACCAUAUUACCAACGCUCCUGCUGACACUGGGUUGGGAUUUAGCAGGGAGGGCGCUGAGACUUCAGACCAUCUGGUGCAAAGAUGAAGAGCCUUCAAGAUACACAUCAAAUGAUGCGUGAUUUUUCAUCAAAAUAUGCCCGUGGCAAAAUCAGCUUCCAGGUCAUAGCUCUUAGAGGGCUGCUAAAAGUAACUGCGAUCCUCAGCCAGCGUGUGGGUUACUUUCUCAUUAAUACUUAGUUUGGCAAUCCCAUAAUUCUUCCAUUUGGGGUCAAGGCUUACAGAUUGCAACUGCAGCAAGGUGUGUUAGGAGCCAGAUGCAAGGAAAUGGGGGCUGUGCCCUCAGGAGCACAGAGUCCUUGAAGGGACCUGUUUGGCAGAGUCCAUGGCUCUGAAACUCAGCAUCUCCACCAUUUUUUUUUCUGCUUAGGGAAUGUUGAAGCUUAUUUUGAUCUCUGCAAGUGCUUUUUUAGAGAAUGAAAUGCAUUUUACUGUGACCAUCUUCCCUUUGAUGUUAAUGCUGUUUUAGAUGUAUUUGGUUCAACAUACGUUUCAGAAACAAAGCUGCAGUCCGUCCUAUUGAUGAGACCUUAGAGACCUAUUUCACUAGGCAGGUAACCCAGGAACUGUUAUGCUAUAAAUACCAUGAAAUAGUGGCACAGAGCCUUUAAGGGUUUACAGAUUGCACUGCAGUCACAUCCAGCAGGGACACUUCUCAGUUCU
rnacentral:lncRNA from 7 species